rnacentral:rRNA from 1 species
UAUUAUUUUAAGAUAAUUUUUUUCCUAAGUUAGUAAUAGAUAUUUACUUAAAAGCUAAAAGAUUUGGCGGUAAUUUAAUCUUUUCAGAGGAACUUGUUUUUUAAUCGAUAACCCCCGAAAUAUCUUACUUAUUUUUGUAAAAGUUUGUAUACCAUCAUUAUCAGGUAAUUUUAAAAAAAUAAAUUAUUAAAAAUAAAAGUUUAGUAAAAUUAGAUCAUGGUGCAGCUAAUAAAUAAGUUAAAAUGAGUUACAAUAAAUUAUUUUACAUGGAUAGAAAAAUGAAUUUUUUCUAGAAAGAGGAUUUGAUUGUAUUUAAAAUUUAAUAAGUUUGAAAGAUGGUAGCUCUAAAUUAUGUACAUAU